GCGGGCGUAGUUCAAUGGUAGAACUUAAGCUUCCCAAGCUUGCGGCGUGGGUUCGAUUCCCAUCGCCCGCUCCA
rnacentral:tRNA from 1 species